CUGCAAUGCCUGUUCUGGACCGUUACAGACUGGAGGGCAUCGUGGAGCACGAUAGAUACCUGUAGUCAGGUAACCGUGAUCUGAUGGGCCGUUCCACGAUUCCGUGUCAGAUCUACGGAUAAGCAUCCGCUGAGAGUACGUCGCAGGUCUAAUCUCAAGAAGUCGCGGGGCCCGCACAGCGCGAGCAUGCAGUAUUAUUAGAUGCAACGAGAGAUCUUUACGUGCGCUCGACAUGUUCCAGACGAUCCCAGAUGAUGGUGUUCUCCUUCGCGGCGUGUUCACAGGUGCAUCAUGGUCGUCUUCAGCUCGUAGUCGUGAGAUGUGGGAUACGUCCCACAACGAGCACCACUCUUCGCCGCGUUGUUACCAGCAGAUUGAUGCGGGGUCUUCACGGGGGACCGCGGGGUCUCUUAGGAGGAAGGUGAGGAUGUCUUCUCAUCAUCAUCCCCUUUUCGUCCAGGGGCUCACAGCAUGCAACAAUGGCCGCAACAAGGGGAGGCACCACGACGAGCUGAAGAGGAUCCCUAAAAGCUGUCAUCAGUUCGGACAGCAUUCUGCACUUCGACGGGAUGAAGGAGGAGUCGUUAGUAAUGAAUAAUCACCAACGUGGCGAAGAAGCUGUUCCGGGCCCUUCACCCCACCGCCCAACAAGUCAAAAAAGUGGGCACCACCAGAAGCCGGCGUCCUACCCCCUGGGGGGAGGCACCCUUUUAAGAGGAGCUUGAUGAUGGGGAAUAAGUGGCAACAAGGUAGCCGUACCGGAAGGGGCGGCUGCACCUCCUCUUUUCUACGAAGAAUACGGCCGGAUGUUCUUCCGGCGGGGGGUCCCCCGGCGUGGCGGCAGUGGCGGCGUUUGGGGGCUGUUGUGGAGGAAAAGAUCAGGGGUUUUCGGGUCUUCCGUGGGGGGAUGUUCGGGGGGAGUGGGGGGGAGGCGCUUUUGGCCUCCCGGAUCCCCCCCCCAGCCUUCGGCCUGGCGCGAUUCGAUGCCCAUCGUGCCUGAUGGCGGGCUGGUCCCGUCCGGACGGCGUGGUGGUGCGUGGUGGCUUGAGAACUGGAUAGUGGACGCGAGCAAGACGGGGUUUCCUUUGAUUCCUCGUUCUUGCUGUUGAUUUAGAAUCGAACUCUAUUUUUAGUGUUUGUUUCGAUCGUUUUGUGAUCAUUUUAGUGUGAUGAUUUGUCGUCUGGGAAUUUGCUAGGAAGGAUCCUUGCGGCCAUGCGCACCGUGUGUACCCCCG
rnacentral:misc_RNA from 1 species